UAAGGUUGACGAGCGGCGGACGGGUGAGUAAUGCCUGGGAAACUGCCCUUUUGUGGGGGAUAACAAAUGGAAACGCCUGCUAAUACCGCAUAGACCCGACAGGCAAAAGUGGGGGACCUUCGGAUGCGCGUCUGGAUUGGCCCAAGUGGGAUUAGCUAGUUGGUGAGGUAACGGCUCACCUAGGCAACGAACCUAGCUGGUCUGCGAGGACGAACAGCCCCUAUGGGACUGAGACACGCCAGACUCCUACGGGAGGCGCANGGGAACAUUGCACAAUGGGUCGGACCCUNAUGCAACCUGCCGCGUGUGANAAGAAGGCCUUCGGAUUGUAAACNANUUUCAGUNACNAGGAAAGGCGGCAAGUUAACACCUUGUAUCUAUGACGUUACAGGUAGAAGAAGCACCCAUAAAUUAUNCANCAGCUGCGGUAAUAAAAAAGAUGAGCACAUUAAUCNAANUUCNGGNCGUAAAGCUUACGCAGACGGUUUGUAAGCGAGAUGUGUAAUUCNCGGGCUCACNCGGGGCAACCGCCNAUGNAACCGCNAAGNUNGAGUCUAGUAGAGGGGAANAGAACGCCAGGUGNAANGCGAAAUGCGUAGAGANCUGGAGAUAUACCGNUCNCGAANGCGGCCCAGUCGACAAAAANNAACUAUCAGGUANGANNAAGCGGGGAUCAAACUGGAUUAGAUACCCUGGUAGUUCACGGCGUAAACGNGGAUUUCUCGGANUUUGCCGCCNUUAANNUUAGGNUCAGAACNUGNUCNAUGAAGUNAACCGNCUGUGGAUUANAAUCGUAAGGUUANAACUUNAAUGAAUUNACGAGGGCCCGCNNAAGAGGUGGAGCGUUNGUUUUAAAUCGAUGCAUCGCGAAGACCCUUACCUACUCUUGACAUCCANAGAAUUUUCCAGAGAUGGAUUAGUGCCUUCGGGAACUCUGAGACAGGUGCUGCAUGNCUGUCGUCAGCUCGUGUUGUGAAAUGUUGGGUUAAGUCCCGCAACGAGCGCAACCCUUAUCCUUACUUGCCAGCGGGUGAUGCCGGGAACUGUAGGGAGACUGCCGGUGAUAAACCGGAGGAAGGUGGGGACGACGUCAAGUCAUCCCCNGCCCUUACGAGUAGGGCUACACACGUGCUACAAUGGCCAGUACAGAGGGAAGCAAANCGGCGACGUGGAGCGGAUCUCAUAAAUCUGGUCGNAGUCCGGAUUGGGNUCUGCAACUGGNGUCCCNGAUUUUAAAACCGCUAGUAAUNNUCNAUCA
rnacentral:rRNA from 1 species